CCUACGGGAGGCAGCAGUGGGGAAUAUUGGGCAAUGGAGGAAACUCUGACCCAGCAACGCCGCGUGAAUGAUGAAGGUCUUCGGAUUGUAAAGUUCUUUUCUAAGGGAAGAAGAAAGUGACGGUACCUUAGGAAUAAGCCUCGGCUAACUACGUGCCAGCAGCCGCGGUAAUACGUAGGAGGCGAGCGUUAUCCGGAAUGACUGGGCGUAAAGGGGGCGUAGGUGGUGUGGCAAGUUAGUAGCGUAACUCCAAGGCUCAACCUUGGAACUACUACUAAAACUGUUGGACUUGAGUGCAGGAGGGGAAACCGGAAUUCCUAGUGUAGCGGUGGAAUGCGUAGAUAUUAGGAGGAACACCAGUGGCGAAGGCGGGUUGCUAGACUGUAACUGACACUGAGGCACGAAAGCGUGGGGAGCAAACAGGAUUAGAUACCCGUGUAGUC
rnacentral:rRNA from 1 species